AUCGCUGAACCACCUGCGAACAGCUGUUUACGUGCGCGAUGUCGCACUGAACUACAGAAACCGCCGUCGCGCACUCCACGACAAAUCUUAACUAACGUUUUUAAAUUGGCCGUGUCUGCUGUGCCCGGGGCACAGCAGACGAAAGGUGCCCGAAAUGUCUACGUUCACCUAUGACGUCACGUCCGCUAUAACCCAUGAUGUCACAUCCGCUCAUUUCCAUGGCGGCCGUCUUACGGAGCCGGCUGCGCUGCGAAACGGUCCGUAUUCCAUGCCCACUUAGAGCACUGAACAUCCCACAUCUUGGUUUGACUUCCUGGUACAGGAUACUUGCACUUAGCAUGGAGUGAUGAAGCAGAGCAGUGUACUUUUAUUAAAUGUGCAGAUUUUAGCAGUAUAACAGCAGUUCAUUAAAAAAACGUGUGCUGAAAAUAAAGUGUUCUUACCCACA
rnacentral:lncRNA from 1 species